rnacentral:rRNA from 1 species
AAUGAUAGAUUAACCUUAGCAGUAUCCUGAGUACGGCGAGACACGCGAAAUCUCGUCGGAAUCUGGGAGGACCAUCUCCCAACCCUAAAUACUCUCUAGUGACCGAUAGUGAACCAGUACCGUGAGGGAAAGGUGAAAAGCACCCCGGGAGGGGAGUGAAAUAGAACCUGAAACCGUGUGCCUACAACAAGUUCGAGCCCGUUAAUGGGUGAGAGCGUGCCUUUUGUAGAAUGAACCGGCGAGUUACGAUAUGAUGCGAGGUUAAGUUGAAGAGACGGAGCCGUAGGGAAACCGAGUCUUAAUAGGGCGUCAUAGUAUCAUGUUGUAGACCCGAAACCAUGUGACCUACCCAUGAGCAGGUUGAAGGUGAGGUAAAACUCACUGGAGGACCGAACCAGGGCACGUUGAAAAGUGCUUGGAUGACUUGUGGGUAGCGGAGAAAUUCCAAACGAACUUGGAGAUAGCUGGUUCUCUCCGAAAUAGCUUUAGGGCUAGCGUCGAUGUUAAGUCUCUUGGAGGUAGAGCACUGUUUGGGUGAGGGGUCCAUCCCGGAUUACCAAUCUCAGAUAAACUCCGAAUGCCAACGAGAUAUAAUCGGCAGUCAGACUGCGAGUGCUAAGAUCCGUAGUCGAAAGGGAAACAGCCCAGACCACCAGCUAAGGUCCCAAAAUAUAUGUUAAGUGGAAAAGGAUGUGGGGUUGCACAGACAACUAGGAUGUUAGCUUAGAAGCAGCUAUUCAUUCAAAGAGUGCGUAAUAGCUCACUAGUCGAGUGACCCUGCGCCGAAAAUGUACCGGGGCUAAAACAUAUUACCGAAGCUGUGGAUGACACAAAAGUGUCAUGGUAGGAGAGCGUUCUAUGUGUGAAGAAGGUGUACCGUGAGGAGCGCUGGAACGCAUAGAAGUGAGAAUGCCGGUAUGAGUAGCGCAAGACAGGUGAGAAUCCUGUCCACCGUAAGACUAAGGUUUCCAGGGGAAGGCUCGUCCGCCCUGGGUUAGUCGGGACCUAAGGAGAGACCGAAAGGUGUAUCCGAUGGACAACAGGUUGAUAUUCCUGUACUAGAGUAUAUAGUGAUGGAGGGACGCAGUAGGCUAACUAAACCAGACGAUUGGAAGUGUCUGGUCAAACAGUGAGGUGUGAUAUGAGUCAAAUGCUUAUAUCUUUAACAUUGAGCUGUGACGAGGAGCGAAGUUUAGUAGCGAAGUUAGUGAUGUCACACUGCCAAGAAAAGCUUCUAGCGAUACAUAUACUCUACCCGUACCGCAAACCGACACAGGUAGUCGAGGCGAGUAGCCUCAGGUGAGCGAGAGAACUCUCGUUAAGGAACUCGGCAAAAUGGCCCCGUAACUUCGGGAGAAGGGGCGCUGAUUUUAGAUCAGCCGCAGUGAAUAGGCCCAAGCAACUGUUUAUCAAAAACACAGCUCUCUGCUAAAUCGUAAGAUGAUGUAUAGGGGGUGACGCCUGCCCGGUGCUGGAAGGUUAAGAGGAGUGCUUAGCGUAAGCGAAGGUAUGAAUUGAAGCCCCAGUAAACGGCGGCCGUAACUAUAACGGUCCUAAGGUAGCGAAAUUCCUUGUCGGGUAAGUUCCGACCCGCACGAAAGGCGUAAUGAUUUGGGCACUGUCUCAACGAGAGACUCGGUGAAAUUUUAGUACCUGUGAAGAUGCAGGUUACCCGCGACAGGACGGAAAGACCCCAUGGAGCUUUACUGCAGUUUGAUAUUGA